rnacentral:lncRNA from 1 species
CCCGCCACGGCGAGUUCUCGGUGGCCCGCAUCCUCUUCGCUCCGGGAACUUCCCUCAGUUUUCUUGUGAAGCCAGGCGUCUCGCAUGCCUGGUGAUGGCCCAGUUCCGCUCGCAGGAUGGAGCUGGAGGGAAGCGUGAGGCUAGUGACAAGGCUUGUGGAUGUGCCGCCGGAACAGGCUUGGAAUCCUAAUUUGUGGUCUUUAGUACCUUGUGACCUGGGUUUCUCUGUGUAGCUUUGGAGGUUGUCCUGGAACUCGCUCUGUAAACCAGAUUGGCCUGGAACUCCCAGAGAUCUGCCUGCCUCUGCUUCCCGAGUGCUGCAAUUAAAGCCAUGGCACGUGCUCACUCAUGCAUCCUCCCCAGGGGAUCAGGUAAUAAGAAUAAUUUAAAAUUCUUUAAAAAGUAAAUGGGUGUUGGGACCCAGCCCCCACAGGGUCUCCGUGAGUUGUUUUCCAGCAUAACCACAGGUACCUCCUGUUUUCUUGGCCUCGCCCACUAGCAUCAACAUCCUGUUAUGAACCUGUCUUGUUUU